AGGUAAACGGGUAGCGCUGAAGCAAGCGCCUGCUAUUUUAUGUUUGCGGUUGCUCUGUGAGGUUGACAGUGAUGCCCUUAAAGGCAGACUUGUUAGCCAAUAUCAGGUGUGACUGUGGCAUGCACUUAGUAGGCGUGAGCACUGCGACCGGUGAUUAGGUUGGACUGUCGUUCGAGGAAGGUAGUGCCGAGUUUUUCGGAACUUGGCAUGUUAUAGCCUCGGCCACGGCAAUAUCUGACUGAACACCGUAAAUUGCGUCUGGCCAUAAUUUGAUGCCGGUUUUUCUGGUCCCGAACAUGUACUCACUGUUUUCAGUGGGUCUAGUUUGGUGUCUGGUGAGCUGGUGUUGAUGGGUUAGUCCAUAGUCUGCAGUGUGACAGUAGGUCAGCUACCCGACCCGUCUUGAAACACGGACCAAGGAGUUCAGUACAUACGCGAGUCAACGGGUCUUACGAAACCCCGCGGCGAAAUUAAAGUAAAGGCUGCCCUUGUGGCAGCUUUGGUGUGAUCCCGAGGCUUCGGCUUAGGGCGCAACACUGGCCAGGUCUACCCUCCUAGCGAGACGAGCUGCGCUUGAGCGUAUAUACUGAGACCCGAAAGAUGGUGACCUAUGCUUGCUCAGGUUGAAGCCAGAGGAAACUCUGGUGGAAGACCGUAGCAGUUCUGACGUGCAAAUCGAUUGUCAGAAGUGAGUAUAGGGGCGAAAGACUAAUCGAACCAUCUAGUAGCUGGUUCCCUCCGAAGUUUCCCUCAGGAUAGCUGGCGCUCGUAUUCAGUUUGAUCCGGUAAAGCGAAUGAUUGGAGGUACUGGGGAUGAAAUGUCCUCAACCUACUCUCAAACUUUAAAUGGGUCAGACGGCAUUGUCACUUAAUUGGACUUUGUCAUUGAAUGAGAGUGUCUAGUGGGCCAUUUUUGGUAAGCAGAACUGGCGCUGUGGGAUGAACCAAACGUCUGGUUAAGGUGCCUAACGCAGUCGCUCAUGAGAUACCAGAAAAGGUGUUGGUUGGUAUUGACAGCAGGACGGUGGCCCUGGAAGUCGGAAACCGCUAAGGAGUGUGUAACAACUCACCUGCCGAAUCAACCAGCCCUGAAAAUGGAUGGCGCUUUAGCGAUGGACCUAUACCGGACCGGCAUGGCAGAAAUGCGGUCGGGGUGGCUGCCGGUCUUCGGACUUGUAAGCGUCUCGGUCGUUAAGGAAGCUGUGUCGAGUAGGAGGGCCACCCUGGUAGCAUAGAAGCUUAAGCCGUGAGGCUGAGUGGAGCU
rnacentral:rRNA from 1 species